rnacentral:lncRNA from 1 species
UUUGUUACUGCGAUUAAGUAAAAUCACUAUAUAUAUGAGAUAUUAUUAAUUGUAAUUAAGCAUGACAAAAAUUCAGAAGUUAAUUAUAUAUAUAAUUUAAUUUUAAUUCAAGUCAUGUUAUAUUUCUUUGAGUCGUGAGGGCACGCAUUCCAUCUUGAAAAACUCCAGCUACAGUCGGGUUUCAGCAGAAAAUUGGUUCCGUUAAUUUACCCAGUUGAAAAAAUGGGAUGUUAAAGAAAAAAUCUCUUUUAUUAUAAUUUGCAAUUUUAGUAAUAGGCGACCGAGAAAGUGGAAUAAUGUGGACUUUUUAUCCGCCAAAUGCAUGAGAUUCAUCCUCUUAGAAUUAGUGUGAUCCCAAUUCUAUUUGAAAUGCUAUAGGAAAUUCUAUUAGAUAAUUCUAAUUGAAAUUCAAUUUGAAAGCUUGGAAUUUGUGUUCAAUUUGAAGAAGUCAAGAUAUGGACCAUAGAGAAAUUUUUUUUUGAGUGGCGGCAUCAAAUUCUUUACAGCGAGUUGCCACCCACCGCGCGCUCAAGCGGCUUACGUAUCCGGCCGAAGUCCGUUUCGCAUUUUCAACAUCCUUUUCCAUUCUAAGGUUUUAAG